rnacentral:rRNA from 1 species
UAGGGAAUCUUCCACAAUGGACGAAAGUCUGAUGGAGCAAUGCCGCGUGAGUGAAGAAGGUUUUCGGAUCGUAAAACUCUGUUGUAAGGGAAGAACAAGUACAGUAGUAACUGGCUGUACCUUGACGGUACCUUAUUAGAAAGCCACGGCUAACUACGUGCCAGCAGCCGCGGUAAUACGUAGGUGGCAAGCGUUGUCCGGAAUUAUUGGGCGUAAAGCGCGCGCAGGUGGUUUCUUAAGUCUGAUGUGAAAGCCCACGGCUCAACCGUGGAGGGUCAUUGGAAACUGGGAAACUUGAGUGCAGAAGAGGAUAGUGGAAUUCCAAGUGUAGCGGUGAAAUGCGUAGAGAUUUGGAGGAACACCAGUGGCGAAGGCGACUAUCUGGUCUGUAACUGACACUGAGGCGCGAAAGCGUGGGGAGCAAACA